rnacentral:rRNA from 1 species
UGGGGAAUUUUGGACAAUGGGCGAAAGCCUGAUCCAGCAAUGCCGCGUGUGUGAAGAAGGCCUUCGGGUUGUAAAGCACUUUUGUCCGGAAAGAAAUCCUUGGCUCUAAUACAGUCGGGGGAUGACGGUACCGGAAGAAUAAGCACCGGCUAACUACGUGCCAGCAGCCGCGGUAAUACGUAGGGUGCAAGCGUUAAUCGGAAUUACUGGGCGUAAAGCGUGCGCAGGCGGUUUGCUAAGACCGAUGUGAAAUCCCCGGGCUCAACCUGGGAACUGCAUUGGUGACUGGCAGGCUAGAGUAUGGCAGAGGGGGGUAGAAUUCCACGUGUAGCAGUGAAAUGCGUAGAGAUGUGGAGGAAUACCGAUGGCGAAGGCAGCCCCCUGGGCCAAUACUGACGCUCAUGCACGAAAGCGUGGGGAGCAAACAGGAUUAGAUACCCUGGGAGUCCACGCCCUAAACGAUGUCAACUAGUUGUUGGGGAUUCAUUUCCUUAGUAACGUAGCUAACGCGUGAAGUUGACCGCCUGGGGGAGUACGGUCGCAAGAUUAAAACUUAAAUGAAUUGACGGGGUCAUAGCUGUUUCCU